AUGGAAUGAUAGAAUCAUAGACUCAUGGAAUUAUGGAAUUAUAGAAUCAUAGACUCAUGGAAUGAUGGAAUGAUAGAAUCAUAGACUCAUGGAAUUAUGGAAUUAUAGAAUCAUAGACUCAUGGAAUGAUGGAAUAAUAGAAUCCUGCAAUCACAGAGCUGGAAGUGACCCAGCUUGUAUCACAGAACACCUUCAUUCCAUGCACUACAAAAUUUUUUUUUUUUUUAAUGAUGGCUGGAAAAUCAUUUCCUAAGGCACGUGAACUCCAGCACAAAGAGCCUUUCCAUCCCCUUUGGAAGCACACAAAGUGUCCUUCAGAGCAUUUGCAUUGUCUUGGUUCACUUUGGCACAGAAACCCAGCCUGGUGUGGCUGGAAGGAGCCUGGAAAACCCUCUCAUCCCAGGAGCUGGGGCUGAGGCAGCUGGGGCUGACCCUCACUGCUUAUUUUAAUCUCCUGAUCGAUUGAGAAACUCGAUGAAGGGUGUGAAGGAAGGCGAACAAACCAGCAAAAGGUUGGGGAGAGAUAAACCCCCCUGGCUGCGCUGCUGCUGGAGUUUUUCAGCCUUUCCUUGCCGGGUUCAGCCGUGCGGGGCCGCUUUGAGCGCUCCCAUUGACGUCAAUGGAGCAUCUCACAUCCCAACCCUGCCUGGCUCCCUCCCAAAAUCCCUCCCGGCACCCCGGGAACCGCCUCGCCCGCCACAAUUAACAACAAGCCAAUUAGGGAUGCGAUAAAGUGCUAACACUGCUCCUAAAAUGCUGCAGUUUGCUUUUUUUUUUUUUUUCCGGAGGGGGGGAAAAAAAGCAAAUUUCGAACAGGCAAAAUUAUUGCUUGGCUUAAAAAUGGGUUUGAUAAUAAUUUUAUAGGGUCUACUCAUCAUUUUAUAGGGUCUGCUUCUCACCAGCUCCGAUUAUUUGAGUGGUUUUGUUGUUCUUUUAAUGUAAACUCUUAUUUAUAAGUAUCUUUUUUUUUUUUUUUUUUUUUUUAUGUAACUCUAAAUUCUAGGGCAGAAAAUGCCUGCGAGCCUUUCAGAGCAGUUUGGCUUUUUUUAGCUUUUUGUUGGAAGGAAGAGCCUGGGAAAAACGUGUUAAUUGUCUCCGUGUGGGAAUGGUGCAGAGGAGCUCCGCGGGAUGCAGGCGGUGACACGGAGCUGAUGGAUCCCUGCCGGGAGCCCUCAUCCCACCGAUCCUGUGGCUUUUCAGGGAUUGUCCCGGCUCAUCCAACCUUCCUGAGCUCAGGACAGCAUCUCCUCCGCCCCACGGGGCUGGGAAAAUGGGAAUUAGUGAGGGAAACGUGGCUGGGAAGGGGAAAAUCGUGUAGGGAAAAAUCAAAUUAUCUUCGCUCUCUGUAGUGCUAUGGGAAAUUCAACCCCCAAGAGGCUGGUCCUGGAUUCCCUGGGAUCUCCUGCCAAGUGGGAAAUGGACCUUCAGAGAAGGAAAUCAAAAUAAACCUGAGCUGGAGGCUGCUGAGCUCAGAAAGGGCAGCUGGGGCUGGGGCACUGCGGCUUCGCUGCGGGUUUAUCCCAAAUCAGCCCCUGGUUUAUCCCAAAUCAGCUCCUGGGUUUAUCCCAAAUCAGCUCCUGGGUUUAUCUUUAUUCCUGAAAUCAGCUCCUGGGUUUAUCCCAAAUCAGCUCCUGGGUUUAUCUUUAUCCCAAAAUCAGCUCCUGGGUUUAUCCCAAAAUCAGCCCCUGGGUUUAUCCCAAAUCAGCUCCUGGGUUAUUCCUGAAAUCAGCUCCUGGGUUAUUCCUGAAAUCAGCUCCUGGGUUUAUCCCAAAUCAGCUCCUGGGUUUAUCCCAAAUCAGCUCCUGGGUUUAUCCCAAAUCAGCUCCUGGGUUUAUCCCAAAUCAGCUCCUGGGUUUAUCCCAAAUCAGGGUUUAUCCCAAAUCAGCUCCUGGGUUUAUCCCAAAUCAGCUCCUGGGUUUAUCCCAAAUCAGCUCCUGGGUUUAUCCCAAAUCAGCUCCUGGGUUUAUCCCAAAAUCAGCUCCUGGGUUUAUCCCAAAUCAGCUCCUGGGUU